GGGCCUGUGGCGCAAUGGCAACGCGUCUGACUACGAUUACGUCGAUAUCAGGAGACUCCAGGUUCGACCCCUGGCAGGCUCA